UCCUCCUCCUCGUCCUCUCGAGUCUAUUGAUCUCUGGGGGCAGCGGUUCAUCGAUCCCUUACUGGCCCUGUUAGUCUCUCUCGUGGCGGUGGUCAGGUCCGUUCGUUUUCUUGCUUUUCUAUGCGUUCGAAGGGGGAGUAGGUCGACGAACGUCAGCAUCCGGACUUCCACAUCGACCCGUCUCCCGACCCCCCUUCGCCGUCCAUUUGUUGCGAUCUCUUCUUUAGCUCUAUUCUUUACACCAGAGACUGGGAGAAAAAAGAUCUGAGGUGAUGGCUAUUUUUGAGUCGGCAAUAAUAGUGCCAUAAACAUACAGAUCGGUACGGAGUGAUGGAAGGCUCGAGCUUGAUGAUUGAUGGAUGAGGAAAGUAAUUUUCUUUCUGCGCAAUAAACUGUUCCCGUUCUGUUUGGAUGCCUGUAGUUGUCAAAUAGACAUCUUUAACUAUAUGAUGAAUUAAAAUAUCAAUUUUAGCUAGGAAGCUGGAUCUGUUUUGUAAGUCGUCAAGAACGGGCAAGCGGCAGAUAUUGUGAGAUGGAUUUAACAUGGCUUCGGGAGGAAUAAGUGGGGAAAACGAAGUAAAGCUGAUCAUACUAAUGGACAGAAGGGCGUGGUUUCCUAUGAAGGUGAUUGAGAUGUCUUCCGUGAUUUGAAGGUUUGACUUAGCUACAUGAUUAUGUUUCUCGUUACUUCUCCCAAAUUCUGGGUGAAAAGACUCGGGACACUGGAAAAUUUUCUCCAGUUAUGGUAGCGUACGACUCUUAGAUAACGAAAUCCCUACUGAUGAUGUUGCUGUGUUGACUCUGUGCCAGCCUCUGAAUUUUUUGGGCAAGACAGGAGAUAUCCUUGAUACACACUAGAUGACUGUAAUGUGCAUGGUCAGAGAGAGCACACAACAUUCUGGAGGUUAAUUACAUCUAUGACUGAGAGCAAAUAAUGCUCUGAAGUUUAGCCAGCCAUUGGUUAAGUCUUGAUUAUUUCAUGUAAGAUUCAACUUGACCCCAUAUGCAGCUGAAAUGGUCUCAUGCAUUGAUGCCAGACAGCCAGGAUGAAAAACUGGUUUUUUAUUAUCAUAUUUGAUAAUUUUCUUUCUAUCUUUUCUGAAUGUAAGAAAUGUAGUAGGAUGCCAAGCAUAGCUAACUAUAUUAUUUACUCUCAACACCAGUUCAACUUUGUAUUCUUUGAGUGUUCACUAUGUAUUAGUUGGAUAACUGGUACACUGCAUUGGUUGUUUAACACUUGAGGGCAAUUUAUUAUUGGUUUGCAAGUAAAACA